GGGGNGGUGGCUCAGAGGUUAAGAGCACUGGCUGCUCUUCCAGAGGUCCUGAGUUCAAUUCCCAGCAACCACA
rnacentral:tRNA from 1 species